UACAUGAGGGAGGGGGAAGGUAAAUAAAUAUUUAAUUAUCAAUAAUUCAAAAGCUAAAUUGUUAUAUAAAUGUAUGCAUUCUCUUGUCAUAUGAUGAAUUUCAUGAUUUUUUAUCAUUUCAGAUGCAAUCUGAGCCUUGUUCUGAAUUUCAAAAUCCCCUUUGACAACACCUGCACAGCUGAGAAAUCAAGGACCUUCUGACUAAGGGCUGAAUUAUAGUGAACACUGCCAUUCAGAGACUUUGAAACAGAUUGAUGAAUCAACUACAUGCAUUAUGUCAGAGGAUUUAGCUGGAGCAAAUAUUUAGCAGCCAGGACACAUAGAUGUACCUGUACAGUUGAUACAGAUAAUCUCAAUGGCACAUUUCUAAAUGAUGGCCAAAAAAAAAUCUAAUAAAGACACUGUCAGUUUAAAACUCUUUGAAAAGAAAAAGAAAUCCAGACCAGAAACAAAGGAUAUUGAUUUUUAAGCUCCUCCAAAUCUAAAAGGGGUUUUAUUGAAACCAAGACUAGGAUACACCCAAGGAUGUUGAAUAUUACACCCCUUCAACAUAAAAUUUUGAAUUUUAGUUUGCCUAUCUAGUCAAGA